CUUGUGUAAAUAAAUGAAUAAAUAAAAUAAAGUAAAAUUGGAACGAUACAGAGAAGAUCAGCAUGGCCUCUUCGCAAGGGAUGACUCGGCAAAUUCGUGAAGCGUUCCAUACUUUU
ensembl:snRNA U6 U6 spliceosomal RNA